GCACCUCCCAUGUGGUAUCCACUUCCCACUUGGUGACUUUUUAAUGGGACUUCACAUAUUUCACCUUGUACUGCAGUUUUAAGUGUUUUAUCCUAGCUCCCUUCAUGUUGAGAUAAAUUCUGGGGGAAAUAAAGCCAUGUCCUGUUCAUCUCUGAGGCCCCUGCAAUGCCAAGCACAACUUCUUGAACACAGGACCUACCAUUUAGAAGGAUGUGAAGAGUGGGACCAAUUGUGGCUAGAAUUGUGAGAGAAGGAACUGCAGAGAGAAGUGGUGAGACCUGAAAAUUUCAAUAAAUAUAGACAAGUCAAUUUUGCAGGUAACAUUUUCAACAUAUAAGAAAGAAGAUAACAAUUUUUGGUAUUAUAUAGCAAAACAAGCAAGAAGAUAUUCUGCUGUGUGCUGAAAUGAGGGAACAUAUUUAAAUAAACGAUCAAUAAAUCUCACUCUACUUUACCAUCAUAGUUUACACAGGUUUGCAAAGUUAUUUUAAGACUUUCUUCAUUGUUUCUGAUUUGAAAAGUACUAUUCAAAGCAUGCAACCUUUUAAAAAAAUUAAAAAGUUUGCAAAAAAAAAAAUCAAUGCUGUACUUUUCUAGAUAAAGAUCAAGUUGCUAUUGUCAUUUCUUUGUCAGCUUACUAGGUUGUAGUCUUUGACUCAUUGUUAAAUAGUGAUGCAGAGUCUCCUGAGUGAUGUGAAGGUCUCCUUUUUAAUUCCUAAAGAUAUUGAGAGAACCUAAGGAAAUUUUAGUUAUGGAAAGUGUUGCCAAGUUCAGGUUCUUUUUGAGUGUAAUAUAGCUAACUCUACAGGAUUUAUCCACAUUGCUGUGAAUUCUGGGAAAUGAAUGGGACAACAGUAGAGAAUAAAAGACCUGAGAA
rnacentral:lncRNA from 1 species